UGGUGUCUAUGAUGUCACCUUUACCUACAUUGUUUGAGUUUUCCUGAGAAAAACCCCAAGUCCUGAGACACCU